rnacentral:rRNA from 1 species
GAUCCUGGCUCAGGAUGAACGCUGACAGAAUGCUUAACACAUGCAACGGAACAAGACUUCGGUCAAGUGAAAUUAAAGUUUAGUGGCGGACGGGUGAGUAACGCGUGAGUAACCUGCCUUUCACAGGGGGAUAACGUUUGGAAACGAACGCUAAUACCGCAUAACACAGCAGAGUCGCAUGGCUCAGCUGUCAAAGAUUUUAUCGGUGAGAGAUGGACUCGCGUCCGAUUAGGUAGUUGGUG